rnacentral:rRNA from 1 species
UACGUAGGGUGCAAGCGUUGUCCGGAAUUAUUGGGCGUAAAGAGCUCGUAGGCGGUUUGUCGCGUCUGCUGUGAAAACUCGGGGCUUAACUCCGGGCCUGCAGUGGGUACGGGCAGACUAGAGUGCGGUAGGGGAGGCUGGAAUUCCUGGUGUAGCGGUGAAAUGCGCAGAUAUCAGGAGGAACACCGGUGGCGAAGGCGGGUCUCUGGGCCGUAACUGACGCUGAGGAGCGAAAGCGUGGGGAGCGAACAGG